rnacentral:sRNA from 1 species
CAUUAAGUUAUGCACCUACCACAGGAUA